rnacentral:lncRNA from 1 species
AUUUACUUCAGAAAGUGUUAUUCUAUUACUUAAUUUUUUUUUUAUUCCAAAGCAAACAAUAUAUGUAACUGUGGUGUCGUACUGAAGAUAAAAUGACAUGUCUGUGAACGAGGUACAGAUUAUAUGGCAGUGAUUACAGAUUUGGCUCAUCUAGGUCAAGUUCGUAAAGCAAUCGUAACCUAUUAAAAAAAUACAUAUAGGGAAGAUAUAUCAUUACAGUAAUUAUUAAUCUGGAAAUGAAACGUGCGUAAAGGAUCUUCGAAACAUAAACACUUUUAAUGAAGAAACAUGAAUGAAAAACCCAAGCAAUUGAAUGAAACGAGUUUGGAGUGAGAUUGCAAAUCCCAUGAACACAGUGACGCGAAGAAAAUAAUAGUAUUGUGAAAAAAGAAAAAUAAAAUAUGCCAGAGUUAAAGUACAAUUACUAUAGACAAGCAGUAGAGCAGCACUGGCCGUCUUUUAAGCAUCUCCUAUUGCAAGAUUCUAUCCAGGCUCUCAGAAAUGCAUAUACAGUAUAAUAAAAAAAUGUUACGAAACUUGAUUCAAUGGGGUGUCAUUUGCUCAAUGUUUCUGAAAGGACAUAAUUCCUUGAGCCUCUGAAGAAAGAUAUUGUCGAAUUCCUUCGCAAUUGCAAUCUUGAUGAGCUAAUAGUUGAUUCUUCAAACAAAUUACUUCUUCACGUAGUUGGCUGACUAAAAUCCUUAGAGCUUUCGACUGCUCACAUGCGAUAUGUGCUGUUUUUUCGAGAUUCUGUGUCCAAAGCUUUUUCUUUUGGCGGCAUUUCGAUGCGGCUAUUCGAUUUCUCUCUAAAAACCGCCUCCUCUUCAUAUCAGGAGUUUCAUUGUUACUAGCGGUAUGAACAUUGUUACUGCCAGGUGUACCCCGUCGUUGACUGGAGGCGACGGUUUUAUUGGAACAGGACUCAUCGCUGCUGUUGUAGUCUCCAUUUGGAGAUUGAGACUGCUUCUUGUUGGAGUUUAAGUAUCCUUCUCUACGUAAGGAUUCAAGAUUAUAGAAAAUCUCAUCGUUAUUCGCAGUAGCGGAAUUCUUAUAUAGGUCCAAACCUUUUUCUUGUUCCGCUCCUGUUAGAUUAACAUUGUUUUGCAUAAGAUUUGACUGCACUACGUAUGGGGCGUUGGUUCCAUUUUGGAAUUGUGGAUGAAGCACUUGAUGAGAUCCAUUAUUAUAAUGAUUCAAAGUACUACCUUCAGAGUAUAAUGAAGGUGCAACAAUUGUUGAGCGUACAGGAGGAGUAUUUGUAGGCUGGCCUUUGUCAUUAUUGUUAGAAAUCUCCGAAAGGUUUACCGUUUGAGGUAAUGAUACCUCUGAAGUACGCUCGGGUCCUUUGAGGUAAUGUCCAAUGCUAGCAUCACCUACUAUUGAAGCGUAGUUAUUAUGUGAAUUCGAGGGAAAGGAUGUUUGAUCUUUAGGUCCCUGGACUGGACCUCUACAUUCAUAUACUCCGAUAUCGCUAGAUUCAGCGCGUUUUUCUCCAACUUCAUGGUUACCACCAUCGCGGAAUGUAUUGAAGUUAAAAUGAAAAUCAUGGUGAGUGCCAUUACUGACGCUAGCACCAUAUCCUUCAUUACCUAGUGUAUCUAACCCGAGAUACACAUUUGCGAAAUCCAUGAUGGAAGAUUGAUGAUGAGCAAGUUAAUUUUCUAUUGAGUGCGGUUGAAAUGGUUUCGACGGUAAAGCCGAUGAAGAUAGUUGAUACAAGAACGGACUAAAUAAAAAGCGAAAGUUUCUUUUUUGUUAGUAGUGCGAAUAUGUAGUGAUUUCUUGAAGAAGGUUAAAUCUUAAAAAGAGGCUAUGUUAUUCAGGUGCUGGCGAAACAAAUUGGGAAGGGAAGAUGAAGCAAAUUGUGGUCGAUCAAGUGACGCAAAUUUGGAUUGAUGAAUAAGGAUGCAAUAUCUUUGUAUAAAAUUUCUGAAUAGUGAUCCCUGUGAACUUCUUCAAAAAAGUAAAUAAAAGAAAAUGAAGAAUGUAUAAACCGACAAGUUGGUGAUUUGAAACUUAGGAGCUAUCAAUGGAAAAGUUUCUUUCAAUUAUAUAAAUGUGUUCUCUCUUUAUUUUUCCUCUGUUUUAAGCAUGCAGUAGUGUCCCGGUUUUAGGAAAUGAACGAACGAUAAAGGAAGGGAUGACAAUUCGUCGUUCUACAGAAGGAUGGAAUGGAUUAAUGGCAAAAGUGAGGAUUCCUGGGAAAAUAAGUAUAUAUAUAUAAGGUGGACAGAGAAAGAAGGUAAAGGAUAAUGAAGGUGGUGAAGGAAGCAAUGUCUUACUGCGUCCCUGGCAAGUAAAGAGGCUUAUAAACAAUAGAGAACUAUGUACUAAGGUGGUUUAAGAUACCAAUUCCUUAAUUUUGGACUUGGAUUACUAUAAGAAUACGUUUCUGCUGAGAAAUAUGAUGCUGCAGUCGGUAACUUUUUGGUUUGUGUCGCAAUGUUUAUAUAUGUUGAUCGGGUGAGAUGAAUUUUGACGUCACUGCAAAACAAACAAACGAAGGGCUAGGGUAGCCAAUCGGGAAAUGAUUUGUUUACUUUAUGAGAUGAACUUGCCGUAUAGAAAUAAAAAGUUUUUCUUUAUAAAAAUUUAUUUUUUUUUUGUUUGAAGGGAUUUGUUGCAAUUAACAAAGGCACUAUGCUAAAAAAGUCAAGCAGUAUUAUCCUUUAAGGCCUCCAUUUUAAGGAGCUAACCGAAGGGGACUACAUUCACGUGUCGCUCCACUGUGUAAUAUUUACAUCACAGUCGUACCGUUAAUUGGCCACCAUAUUCGGAAAGGAAAAUCUAGAGUUCUAUUUGAUGCAGAUUAUGUCAAAUAUAAUCAGGAUUUACUUUUAUUUAAACCAAUCAAAAAAUAGCCGAUUACUUGUGGAGAGAUAAUAACGCUAUCCCUCGGUAUUCGUAGUCGUCAAUAGUAAAGUUGUGAAUGCGAAAAUAUAAUAUCGCCUCUCUUGCUAGCUUUUUUCAUAUUUAUUUCCUUUAAUGGUUUUGAUGAAACUACCUAGGCUUCAAAUUUUGUCGUUCUCUUACGCGCGCCACCAUAAACGGCUUUAUCGUUACUGAUAAUAAUAGCUCAUAUCAUUACUAUUAGUAGCCUUUCCGCUAUCAAUCCUUUCUCAAAAUUUAGCCGCAACUUGUUUCUAAUACUUCUUCAUCUUUCUUGCCCACAUUUACUUAUAUUGUCGCAAGCAAGAGUAACAUGUUAUUGAUUUAAAUCUGGUUUGCCAGAAUUCUCAUUUUUAGUAUGUAUACUAUCAUAUCUUUUAACUAUACACGAGAUGAAGUUUAACUUUUGGUCACAUUAAAUCAAAAUAGACAGAACGGAUCGUACAUACGACCAUGAGUUAGCCACUGGAUUGAAUCAGUUCUGCAAAUCGAAAGAUGUUGAACUUCGCAGUUGACAAUAUGAGAAUACUUUAGCAACAUCUGGAAUAUUUAAUUAAGCUCUACGUCAAUUUGGUAGAAAUGUGACUAUCUAAGAUAUAGUUGGCAAUUUCCCGAAUUCAUAGGAUAUCACCUUUAAACCUUUUGACUUAAUUUAAUGAUAUUAUUUUUC